AAUGUAGGAGGCAACCUAAGUUCGCCGCGUCCUGCGGCAACGGUUGCAUGACCAACAUCCUGUUGG
rnacentral:sRNA from 1 species